ensembl:snRNA U6 U6 spliceosomal RNA
AUGCUUUCUUUGGCAGCACAUAUACUAAAAUUGGAAUUAUACAGAGAUUAGCAGGAGCUCUGCACAAAGAUAACAUGUAAUUCAUAGUUUUUUAAAUUUUUU